AUUGAACGCUGGCGGCAUGCUUUACACAUGCAAGUCGAACGGUAACAGGCCGCAGGGUGCUGACGAGUGGCGAACGGGUGAGUAAUGCAUCGGAACGUGCCCAGUCGUGGGGGAUAACGCAGCGAAAGCUGUGCUAAUACCGCAUACGAUCUCUGGAUGAAAGCGGGGGACCGAAAGGCCUCGCGCGAUUGGAGCGGCCGAUGUCAGAUUAGGUAGUUGGGGGGGUAAAGGCUCACCAAGCCAACGAUCUGUAGCUGGUCUGAGAGGACGACCAGCCACACUGGGACUGAGACACGGCCCAGACUCCUACGGGAGGCAGCAGUGGGGAAUUGUGGACAAUGGGCGCAAGCCUGAUCCAGCAAUGCCGCGUGCAGGAAGAAGGCCUUCGGGUUGUAAACUGCUUUUGUACGGAACGAAAAGGUCUGGGUUAAUACCCUGGGCACAUGACGGUACCGUAAGAAUAAGCACCGGCUAACUACGUGCCAGCCGCCGCCGUAACAC
rnacentral:rRNA from 1 species